AUUGAACGCUGGCGGCAGGCCUAACACAUGCAAGUCGAGCGGAUGAAGGGAGCUUGCUCCUGGAUUCAGCGGCGGACGGGUGAGUAAUGCCUAGGAAUCUGCCUGGUAGUGGGGGAUAACGUCCGGAAACGGGCGCUAAUACCGCAUACGUCCUGAGGGAGAAAGUGGGGGAUCUUCGGACCUCACGCUAUCAGAUGAGCCUAGGUCGGAUUAGCUAGUUGGUGGGGUAAAGGCCUACCAAGGCGACGAUCCGUAACUGGUCUGAGAGGAUGAUCAGUCACACUGGAACUGAGACACGGUCCAGGCUCCUACGGGAGGCAGCAGUGGGGAAUAUUGGACAAUGGGCGAAAGCCUAAUCCAGCCAUGCCGCGUGUGUGAAGAAGGUCUUCGGAUUGUAAAGCACUUUAAGUUGGGAGGAAGGGCAGUAAGUUAAUACCUUGCUGUUUUGACGUUACCAACAGAAUAAGCACCGGCUAACUUCGUG
rnacentral:rRNA from 1 species